CCAGACUCCUACGGGAGGCAGCAGUGGGGACUCUUGGGCAAUGGUCUCCCGCCUGACCCCGCACCGCCGCGUGCCGGCAGAAGGCCUUCGGGUUGUAAACUUCUUUUCUCAGGGACGCAUAGAUGACGGUACCUGAGGAAUAAGCCACGGCUAACUACGUGCCAGCAGCCGCGGUAAUACGUAGGUGGCAAGCGUUAUCCGGAUUUACUGGGUGUAAAGGGCGGGGAGGCGGGGACGCAAGUCAGAUGUGAAAACCACGGGCUCAACCUGGGGCCUGCAUGUGAAACUGUGUUUCUUGAGGCCGGGAGAGGCAGACGGAAUUCCUAGGGGAGCGGUGAAAUGCG
rnacentral:rRNA from 1 species